rnacentral:rRNA from 1 species
UACGUAGGGUCCGAGCGUUGUCCGGAAUUAUUGGGCGUAAAGGGCUCGUAGGCGGUUUGUCGCGUCGGGAGUGAAAACCCAGGGCUUAACCCUGGGCUGGCUUUCGAUACGGGCAGACUAGAGGUAUGCAGGGGAGAACGGAAUUCCUGGUGUAGCGGUGAAAUGCGCAGAUAUCAGGAGGAACACCGGUGGCGAAGGCGGUUCUCUGGGCAUUACCUGACGCUGAGGAGCGAAAGUGUGGGGAGCGAACAGG